CAGCCGCCACGGUAACACGUAGGGCGCGAGCAUUAAUCGGAAUUACUGGGCGUAAAGCGUGCGCAGGCGGUUAUAUAAGACAGAUGUGAAAUCCCCGGGCUCAACCUGGGACCUGCAUUUGUGACUGUAUAGCUAGAGUACGGUAGAGGGGGAUGGAAUUCCGCGUGUAGCAGUGAAAUGCGUAGAUAUGCGGAGGAACACCGAUGGCGAAGGCAAUCCCCUGGACCUGUACUGACGCUCAUGCACGAAAGCGUGGGGAGCAAACAGGAUUAGAUACCCCAGUAGUCCCUGUCUCUUAUAA
rnacentral:rRNA from 1 species